rnacentral:rRNA from 1 species
UACGGAGGAUCCAAGCGUUAUCCGGAAUCAUUGGGUUUAAAGGGUCCGUAGGCGGUUUAAUAAGUCAGUGGUGAAAUCUGGUCGCUCAACGAUCAAACGGCCAUUGAUACUGUUAGACUUGAAUUAUUGUGAAGUAACUAGAAUAUGUAGUGUAGCGGUGAAAUGCUUAGAUAUACAUGGAAUACCAAUUGCGAAGGCAGGUUACUAACAAUAUAUUGACGCUGAUGGACGAAAGCGUGGGGGAGCGAACAGG